AGUGAACGCUGGCGGUAGGCCUAACACAUGCAAGUCGAACGGCAGCACAGUAAGAGCUUGCUCUUACGGGUGGCGAGUGGCGGACGGGUGAGGAAUACAUCGGAAUCUACUUUUUCGUGGGGGAUAACGUAGGGAAACUUACGCUAAUACCGCAUACGACCUACGGGUGAAAGCAGGGGAUCUUCGGACCUUGCGCGAUUGAAUGAGCCGAUGUCGGAUUGGCUAGUUGGCGGGGUAAAGGCCCACCAAGGCGACGAUCCGUAGCUGGUCUGAGAGGAUGAUCAGCCACACUGGAACUGAGACACGGUCCAGACCCCUACGGGAGGCAGCAGUGGGGAAUAUUGGACAAUGGGCGCAAGCCUGAUCCAGCCAUACCGCGUGGGUGAAGAAGGCCUUCGGGUUGUAAAGCCCUUUUGUUGGGAAAGAAAAGCAGCAGGUUAAUACCCCGCUGUUCUGACGGUACCCAAAGAAUAAGCACCGGCUAACUUCGUG
rnacentral:rRNA from 1 species